rnacentral:rRNA from 1 species
GAUGAACGCUGGCGGCGUGCCUAAUACAUGCAAGUCGAGCGAACAGACGAGGAGCUUGCUCCUCUGACGUUAGCGGCGGACGGGUGAGUAACACGUGGAUAACCUACCUAUAAGACUGGGAUAACUUCGGGAAACCGGAGCUAAUACCGGAUAAUAUAUUGAACCGCAUGGUUCAAUAGUGAAAGACGGUUUUGCUGUCACUUAUAGAUGGAUCCGCGCCGCAUUAGCUAGUUGGUAAGGUAACGGCUUACCAAGGCAACGAUGCUUAGCCGACCUGAAGGGGUGAUCGGCCACACUGGAACUGAGACACGGUCCAGACUCCUACGGGAGGCAGCAGUAGGGAAUCUUCCGCAAUGGGCGAAAGCCUGACGGAGCAACGCCGCGUGAGUGAUGAAGGUCUUCGGAUCGUAAAACUCUGUUAUUAGGGAAGAACAAAUGUGUAAGUAACUAUGCACGUCUUGACGGUACCUAAUCAGAAAGCCACGGCUAACUACGUG